GACGAACGCUGGCGGCGUGCUUAACACAUGCAAGUCGAACGGAAAGGCCCUGCUUUUGUGGGGUGCUCGAGUGGCGAACGGGUGAGUAACACGUGAGUAACCUGCCCUUGACUUUGGGAUAACUUCAGGAAACUGGGGCUAAUACCGUAUAGGAUCUCCUGCUGCAUGGUGGGGGUUGGAAAUUUUCGGCGGUUGGGGAUGGACUCGCGGCUUAUCAGCUUGCUGGUUGGGUAGUGGCUUACCAAGGCUUUGACGGGUAGCCGGCCUGAGAGGGUGACCGGGGACAUGGGGACUGCGAUAGGGCGCAGACUCCAACGGGAGGCAGCAGGGGGGAAUAUUGUACAGUGGGCGGAAGCGUGAGGAGGCAACGCCGCGUUCGGGAUGCCCGCCUUCGGGUUGUAAACAGCUUUAGCCUGUGACGAAGCGUGAGUGACGGUAAUGGGUAAAGAAGCACCGGCUAACUACGUG
rnacentral:rRNA from 1 species